CCUAAAGUAGAUAGAAAAGGGGGGAUUGAAGUAAGAAAUGGAUGCUAAAGGGAUUUCUAUAGGUACUGUAAACUAAUCAGGACUGAGACAGGAGGGCUCUGGAAGAUAAGGGAUUUCUAUAGGUAUUGUGAACUAAUCAGGACAGGACUGAGACAAUGGAAAUGAUUUCCUGGAACUCAUUUCAGAAGCCAAGGACUUUUCAGCUUCUCGCUCUGUCCUGCCAGCGGGCAGGCUGGGGGU